rnacentral:rRNA from 1 species
UCGAGAAUCAUUCACAAUGGGCGAAAGCCUGAUGGUGUGACGCCGCGUGGAGGAUGACGGUCUUCGGAUUGUAAACUCCUGUCAUGAGAGAGUAAAGCCGGGGGUUAACUGCCCGCCGGUCUGAGAGUAUCUCAAGAGGAAGAGACGGCUAACUCUGUGCCAGCAGCCGCGGUAAUACAGAGGUCUCAAGCGUUGUUCGGAAUCACUGGGCGUAAAGGGUGCGUAGGCGGCGCGGAAAGUCAGGGGUGAAAUCCCGGAGCUCAACUCCGGAACUGCCUUUGAUACUCCCGUGCUUGAGUGCUGGAGAGGAGUUCGGAAUUCACGGUGGAGCAGUGAAAUGCGUGGAUAUCGUGAGGAACACUAGUGGCGAAGGCGGAACUCUGGACAGUCACUGACGCUGAGGCACGAAGGCCAGGGGAGCAAACGG